rnacentral:rRNA from 1 species
GACGAACGCUGGCGGCGUGCUUAACACAUGCAAGUCGAACGGAAAGGCCCUGCUUUUGUGGGGUGCUCGAGUGGCGAACGGGUGAGUAACACGUGAGUAACCUGCCCUUGACUUUGGGAUAACUUCAGGAAACUGGGGCUAAUACCGGAUAGGAGCUCCUGCUGCAUGGUGGGGGUUGGAAAGUUUCGGCGGUUGGGGAUGGACUCGCGGCUUCUCAGCUGGUUGGUGGGGUAGUGGCUUACCAAGGCUUUGACGGGUAGCCGGCCUGAGAGGGUGACCGGCCACAUGGGGACUGAGAUACGGCCCAGACUCCUACGGGAGGCAGCAGGGGGGAAUAUUGCACAAUGGGCGCAAGCCUGAUGCAGCAACGCCGCGUGCGGGAUGACGGCCUUCGGGUUGUAAACCGCUUUCGCCUGUGACGAAGCGUGAGUGACGGUAAUGGGUAAAGAAGCACCGGCUAACUACGUG